GACAGCGGGUGCGAGCGUUGUCCGGAGUCACUGGGCGUAAAGCGCGCGCAGGCGGCAACCUUAGUGUCGUGUGAAAGCCCCCGGCUCAACCGGGGGAGGCCAUGGCAAACUGGGUCGCUCGAGCUGCGGAGAGGCCCCUCGAAUUGCCGGUGUAGCGGUGAAAUGCGUAGAGAUCGGCAGGAAGACCAAGGGGGAAGCCAGGGGGCUGGCCGCAGGCUGACGCUGAGGCGCGACAGCGUGGGGAGCAAACCGG
rnacentral:rRNA from 1 species